UACGGAGGAUCCGAGCGUUAUCCGGAUUCAUUGGGUUUAAAGGGUGCGUAGGUUGUUUUAUAAGUUAGCGGUGAAAUACCGAUGCUCAACAUCGGGGCUGCCGCUAAUACUGUAGGACUAGAGAUCGGAUGCAGCAGGCGGAAUGUGUAGUGUAGCGGUGAAAUGCAUAGAUAUUACACAGAACACCGAUUGCGAAGGCAGCUUGCCGGCCCCACACUGACGCUGAGGCACGAAAGCGUGGGUAUCGAACAGG
rnacentral:rRNA from 1 species